GAGCUUGGGUGAAGAAACUGAACACCACCUGCAACUCGAGGAGGGAAAGAGAAGAGUAGUUGUGUCUACAGAUAAUAUAGGGGAGACACGUGGAGCUCCUGCCUGCCGCAGGCACGAAGAAGCAUAAUCACUCUCAUAUCUGAAGACCCUUUUGAGGACUUCUUUGGGAAUCGAAGGGGUCCCCGAGGAAGCAGAAGCCGAGGGACGGGGUCAUUUUUCUCCGCGUUCAGUGGAUUUCCGUCUUUUGGAAGUGGAUUUUCUUCUUUUGAUACAGGAUUUACUUCAUUUGGGUCACUAGGUCAUGGGGGCCUCACUUCAUUCUCUUCCACGUCAUUUGGUGGUAGUGGCAUGGGCAACUUCAAAUCGAUAUCAACUUCAACUAAAAUGGUUAAUGGCAGAAAAAUCACUACAAAGAGAAUUGUCGAGAACGGUCAAGAAAGAGUAGAAGUUGAAGAAGAUGGCCAGUUAAAGUCCUUAACAAUAAAUGGUGUGGCCGACGACGAUGCCCUCGCUGAGGAGCGCAUGCGGAGAGGCCAGAACGCCCUGCCAGCCCAGCCUGCCAGCCUCCGCCCGCCGAAGCCGCCCCGGCCUGCCUCGCUGCUGAGACACGCGCCUCACUGUCUCUAUGAGGAGGAGGGCGAGCAGGACCGACCUCGGGCACCCGGGCCCUGGGACCCCCUCGCGUCCGCAGCAG
rnacentral:sRNA from 1 species